rnacentral:rRNA from 1 species
GCGAACGGGUGAGUAACGCGUAGGUGACCUACCCUCGAGUGGGGCAUAACCCGGGGAAACUCGGGCUAAUUCCGCAUACGGUCUCGGCGUCAUAGCUGAGAAGAAAGCCGAGAGGCGCUUGGGGAGGGGCCUGCGUCCGAUUAGCUGGUUGGUGGGGUAACGGCCUACCAAGGCGGUGAUCGGUAGCCGGUCUGAGAGGGCGGCCGGCCACACUGGAACUGGGACACGGUCCAGACUCCUACGGGAGGCAGCAGCAAGGGAUAUUGCGCAAUGGCCGGAAGGCUGACGCAGCGACCCGCGUGGGGGAUGAAGGCUCUCGGGUCGUAAACCCCUUUUGUGUGGGACGAAGACUGACGGUACCACACGAAGAAGCCCCGGCUAACUACGUGCCAGCAGCCGCGGUAAUACGUAGGGGGCGAGCGUUGUCCGGAUUUACUGGGCGUAAAGCGUCCGCAGGCGGCCAUCCAAGUCCGGUGUGAAAGCCCCCCGCUCAACGGGGGGAGGUCAUCGGAGACUGGGUGGCUGGAGGAUAGCAGAGGGGGAUGGAAUUCCCGGAGUAGUGGUGAUAUGCGUAGAGACCGGGAGGAACACCGGUGGCGAAGGCGAUCCCCUGGGCUACUCCUGACGCUCAUGGACGAAAGCGUGGGGAGCGAACCGGAUUAGAUACCCGGGUAGUCCACGCCGUAAACGAUGGGUACUCGGUGUGGGGGGGUAUCGACCCCCCCCGCGCCCCAGCUAACGCGAUAAGUACCCCGCGCUCCAGCUAACGACGAUAAGUACCCGACUGGGAAGUGCGGCCGCAAGGCUAAACUCAAAGGAGUUGACGGGGGCCCGCACAAGCAGCGGAGCGUGUGGUUUAAUUUCGAUGCAACGCGAAGAACCUUACCAGGGCUUGACAUGGGCCUGCACGCCGGGGGAAACCCCGGCUCCUUCGAGGGUGGUCCACAGGUGCUGCAUGGCUGUCGUCAGCUCGUGCCGUGAGGUGUUGGGUUAAGUCCCGCAACGAGCGCAACCCCCGCUGGCAGUUAGGUUUUCUGCCGGGACUGCCGGGAAAACCCGGAGGAAGGUGGGGAUGACGUCAAGUCAGCACGGCCCUUACGUCCUGGGCGACACACACGCUACAAUGGCACGGACAACGGGCUGCGAACCCGCAAGGGGGAGCCAAUCCCAGCAAACCGUGCCCCAGUACAGAUUGUCGGCUGAAACCCGCCGGCAUGAAGGCGGAGUUGCUAGUAACCGCGGGUCAGCACUACCGCGGUGAAUGCGUUCCCGGGCCUUGUACACACCGCCCGUCACGUCAUGAAAGCCGGCAACACCUGAAGUCCGUGCGCCGACCCGCGAGGGGGGCAGCGGCCGAGGGUGGGGCUGGUGAUUGGAGUGAAGUCGUAACAAGGUAGCCGUA